GCAACUUUGGCCGAGCGGUUAAGGCGCUAGACUCAAGAGACUUACCUCUUUCACUGAUUUAAGUGAGCAUUCUAGUCACGAAAGUGGCGUGGGUUCGAUUCCCACAGGUUGCA
rnacentral:tRNA from 1 species